AAGACAAAUGGUUAACAUACUGGUGGCUCAUAUGAUUGAUAUGCAUGGGUGUUUUUAUUUACUUAUUUUAUAAUUUUGUUUAUACAAAUAACUACAUGGCCAUUGUCUAAAUAAAUGAUAACAAAUUUGAUAUCUUUCCUUAGGCAUCUCCCUACUAAACCUAUCAGAGAACAGUAUGCUCAUGGCAUAGUGGUGCUGUUCCCUUCCCUGAGAGAUCCAUAUUCCAAGAAAGGCUAUGAACAUUUUUAUGAUGCUGUAAGCAACACAGGAUACAUUGCUUGGCAUAUGAAAACUGUCCACAGGAGGAUUCGACGAGGAUCUUUGCCACUAGACAGCCCUCAUGAUGUUUCUCCAGGAGGCCCAAAAUGCCAAAAGGCUACUAAUUUUGAAGGGCAACUUGAUGGGGAUGCUUGAAGAGAAGCUAUGUCUUUGCUCAACCAUACCACAGACAAGUUCCUAAUAUUCCAAAAGAUGAGAGACCUUUCAGCAUCACAAGAAGCUUGUUAAAGAUCCAGGCUCUAGUGCUGAUAUCCUCUCCACCUUCCCAAGAUUCCUAGAUACAAAAGGGCUGGUCAUUUUGGAAUAAAAUGUUUUAAAAGGCAUGCAAUUUUAGAAUAUUUUUUCAGUUUAAUAUCUUCUUUCUUAAAGGUGGAUCAAGGCUUCACUCUCCUGUUUGAUGCUGAGACAUCAUCCAGGCUGCUUCAGAGGUGGGGCACGUUCUUCAGGCUAAAUGUCAUUAAAGAGGCCAAGCAAGUUACUUCAACACCAGAGCUGAGUCAGUUGUUGCUAUCAGCAGAACGUCCUGAAGGAAGUUAUCUCCAUGAAACAAUCUACGACCAGAAAAUGGCAUCUCUUCUUUUAUUGAUGCAUCUCCUUCCACUACCACCAGGAGGAAAGAAGUCUCCAAAAAUCAUGUGCAUGUGAUGCUGCUGAAAGACAUCAUGCUGCAGUUUGGAGGAGCACCUCAACAGCAACCAGCAUCAGCAUCCGUACCUCCUUGCUGUUGGACGCCAGAAAAGCAAGAUCCACAGCUUCUACAUCGCCCUGGAUAAGCAUCUCAUCCCAUGCCAGGCAAACCGCUCCCUUGGAGCAUUUGAUGAACUUUUCAAGGCACAUUUUGUGUUUAAUUUGUCCUAUGAUUGUGCGCUUGUAAACUUUUACACAUUCCUGCAAACGACCGUGUACAACAUUGAUGUAGGGAAAAUGAAGGAGUCUCCCAGGGUUAGAGAUUUGAGAGCCAGACUGCUUAACCAGACAGUAAGCUUAACUUAGUCGGGCAGUAUGAUAUUGAGAGAAUGCUGAUCUGUUUUAUUUGUCAAAAACAGAGCCCAGUCAGUCAACAGUUGAUUUUGCAUUUAAGAGGUGAACAUAGUUACUACCCUGGAUCUAAGUUCAAAUUAAUUUGUUCUCAGCAAGGUUGUAGGCAUCAGUUCCAAACGUAUGCAGGUUUUCGUAAGCACCUUAAUAGUGUUCAUUGCAAUGUUCAGCUGAUUGCUCAAAGUUCAACUGUUGGAUGUUCUUCAAGUGAGCCAGUUGCAAGCUCAUCUCAUGUAGAUGCUUUGGAGGACCUUAUGGAUCCCCAGCAUCAGUCUCCUUGUUCCAGUGCUAUCAGAGAACAAUGAUUUAGGGCUUACUAAAAAUUCAACUAAAGAAUUGUGUGAAUCCAUAAUGGCCAAAAUACAAGUAAGUGGGAUUCCAAACAGUUUAGUGUCCUCAAUUGUGGGAGAUUUAGAGGCGCUAACAGAUGAGCUUCACUCACAAACAAAGCAUAACAUACUCUCUGCUUUGCCUACAAAUGACCCCUGCAAACCUAUAAUAAAUGAAUUGUUUGAAAAAUGAGAACCCAUUCACAAAUCUGAAUACCAAAUGGAAAAAUGGGGAGUUGUAGAGCCCGUUGAGAUAAAACUAGGUGUGUGGUAUGACAACAGGUUGAAUCAGAAAUCUGGCACUUAUGACCAAGUACCAGUGAAUGAUACUUUUUAUAUGUGCCAAUUUUAGAAAUAUUGAAAUUCAUGUGCAGUAAUCCAGAAAUUUGUCAUCUCCUAAGGAAAGAUUAUAGAUGAGAGUCUGAACUUUUUACAGAGUUUAGAGAUGGAAGUCCAAAUCCAAAUAUACUAUGAUUAUUUUGAAACAGCAAACCCCCUUGGCUCCAAACGUUGUAUCCACAAAAUUGGCUGUCUUUAUUUUAUUGUAAGAAACUUGCCCCCAAAAUUUAAUUCGGUUCUUAUGAACAUUCAUUUGUUAGUACUUUUUCACGCAAAAGAUUUAAGCAAGUACAGUUUUGAUGUUAUACUGGAACUGUUGAUAAAGUAUAUUAAGAUACUAGAAAGCCAGGGAUUAAGUCUGUCAUUCUCAGAUGAGCAGAUAUAUGGCACCAUCACACAAAUCACUGGUGAUAAUCUAGGGAUGCACUCGAUUCUUGAUUUUAAUGAGUCAUUUACAGUUUUUCUCAAUCGAUUUGGUACAUUUAUGGUACAUUUUGGUACACAGAAAUAAAUGAAAAUACAUGUUUUACAGGUGUACAACAAAAAGUUGUCACCCCACACACACAAAUAUAUAUAUAUAUAUAUAUAUAUAU